UAUGUUGGAUGUCUAGUUUGUCUGUUUCUGUGUUUGGCCUGAUAUGGUUCUCAAUCAUAGGCAGGUGUUAGUCAUUGUCUCUGAUUGGGAACCAUAUUUAGGUAGCCUGUUUUGUCAUUGUGGGUUGUGGGUGAUUGUCUAUGUUAGUUGCUUGUGUCAGCACAGUUCGUAUAUAGCGUCACAGUCGUUUAUUGUUUUGUGUAGUUUGUUCAAGUGUUCGCUGUUAUUUAAAAUCACGAUGAACACAUACCACGCUGCAUUUUGGUCCUCCGAUCCUUCCAACUCCUCCUAUUUAUCUCCAGACGACAGCCGUGACAGAGAUUGGGUGUCACUACAGGUUAAAGAAAAAAGAAAGCCAACACAUAAAUGUAAGGCGUGGGAGCCCGACGAGCCGGCUGAGGCGUGGGAGCCCGACGUUAAUGCUGACACUGGGAUCAGACUGAGGAACAGGCAGAUAUGGAGGGGCAAUCAACAAAGUGUAGGAGUCCAGGAUGCCGGUGGACGGAGUUGGGAGGGUCGUCAGCUACAUGGGAAACACCUGGGCCUGGUGUGUCCCAGGAUAAAUACACCACUUCCCCAUUUAUGGAAUAGACUCUCUCCAAGCAGACACCUUUAUGGAUUUUGUUGUGUUUCUUGGUGUUGUUUUGGUUGUUUGUUUUAGCAACUUUCAACACCCUCCAUCACAUUCAUGCGUGCAAAACACUCACUUACACUACUGAUUACUGAUUACACACACCAUUGUAUAUUGUACUUAGUUUACUUUAUUUAAUAAAUAUAUA